CCAGCUCACGCUGUCCUCCUGCCUCAGCCUCCCGAGUGCCAGGAUGACAGGCGAGAACCCACCACCCCCUGCCAUUGACUACUUGCAUCCAGCGCCUGGUCCCUUCUCUUUCUCCAGGGUCUUGCUUUGUAGUCCAGGCUGCCUUGAACUGACCACCAUCCUCACCAGGCCUGCAGGCCCAUUUUACCCACAGUUAAUCCCUGCUUCCUGAGCUGGGCUCACCCCGGCCAAGCCCCAUCCACAGCAGGCACAGCCAGGGACAGCCCUGGUGCCAGCCCUCCGUAUCAUCUCAACAAACCCCAAUGCCAGCUGGCCUCCCGGGUACUGCCCAGUGCCAAGGAGUGGACACAGGAGCCGGAACGGGUAGGGAAGGGCACCAGACAGACCGCUCUGUCUACGGCUCUGUCCCCACCCACCCCAAGGGGUUCCCAGGAGGGCCCAGGGCAGCAAGAGGCAGAGGAGACUGGACAGGGCUGAGCAUUUAUUGCAGCGCUAAGAGGGUGCUGGGCUCGCCCGCCUCUGCUGUCUGCACGUCCCCCUGCCUUGUCUCCUCUGUGCCA